ACGGAAGGCAGCAGUGGGGAAUAUUGGACAAUGGGGGAAACCCUGAUCCAGCGGCGCCGCGUGAGUGAAGAAGUAUUUCGGUAUGUAAAGCUCUAUCAGCAAGGAAGAAAAUGACGGUACUUGACUAAGAAGCUCCGGCUAAAUACGUGCCAGCAGCCGCGGUAAUACGUAUGGAGCAAGCGUUAUCCGGAUUUACUGGGUGUAAAGGGAGCGCAGACGGCAAAGCAAGUCUGAAGUGAAAUGCCGGGGCUUAACCCCGGGACUGCUUUGGAAACUGUUUAGCUAGAGUGCAGGAGAGGUAAGCGGAAUUCCUAGUGUAGCGGUGAAUGCGUAGAUAUUAGGAGGAACACCAGUGGCGAAGGCGGCUUACUGGACUGUAACUGACGUUGAGGCUCGAAAGCGUGGGGAGCAAACAGGAUUAGAUACCCUGGUA
rnacentral:rRNA from 1 species